rnacentral:rRNA from 1 species
UUACGGGAAACCGGAGCUAAUACCGGAUAAUAUAUUGAACCGCAUGGUUCAAUGGUGAAAGACGGUCUUGCUGUCACUUAUAGAUGGAUCCGCGCCGCAUUAGCUAGUUGGUAAGGUAACGGCUUACCAAGGCAACGAUGCGUAGCCGACCUGAGAGGGUUGAUCGGCCACACUGGAACUGAGACACGGGGUCCAGACUCCUACGGGAGGCAGCAGC